UAAUAAUAUUGGCACUCCCCCAGAGUGUUUAUCAAUUAUCAUUGACAUAGUUGGAGAGACAGAGAGAGAAGUUGAUGAAUGAUGAUUAGUGGUAGCCACGAGUUGGCGCGAAAGAAGAAGGUGCCGAAGUUGCAGCUCCUCUCUCUCUCCGUUGUUGAAUCAACAAUGUCGCUCACAGCCACUCGAUCCACUCUUUUUUCAUCUUUCUCUCUCCUUUCACUCUCUCACUCUCACAUUUCAAUUUCACUUUCUCCACCAAAAAACCAUGCCGUUUCUCUUUCUUCUUCUUCUUCUUCACUUCUUCCGACACUCAUAACACGUUUCCGUUUCACACCUAAAAAGAAAAAGAAGAAAAAAAAAAAAAACUGAUGCGAUUCGAUCAAUCGCUCAUUGUUCGCUUGCUUGGUUUCUCUUCAUGAACAACAACGCGCUUCUCGCAGCAUCUCCGAUUCAAGACCUCAAAUAAAUGGGGACUCCAGUGAAUAUUAUUGUGGGUUCUCAUGUCUGGAUUGAAGAUCCAGAUAUCUGUUGGAUUGAUGGACAGGUAUCAAAAAUCACCGGAAAGGAUGCUGAAAUUGAAACUACCAAUGGAAAAAAGGUGGUUGCAAAUUUAUCAAAAAUAUAUCCCAAAGAUAUGGAAGCUCCUCCUGGUGGAGUGGAUGAUAUGACUAAGUUGUCCUAUUUACAUGAACCUGGAGUCCUGCAGAAUUUGAAAGCUAGAUAUGAAUUGAAUGAAAUAUAUACAUAUACUGGAAAUAUUCUGAUUGCAAUAAAUCCAUUCCAAAAACUACCACAUAUCUAUGGUGCGCACAUGAUGCAACAAUACAAGGGAGCACCAUUUGGAGAAUUAAGCCCUCAUGUAUUUGCAGUUGCUGAUGUUGCAUAUAGGGCAAUGAUUAAUGAAGGGAAAAGCAAUUCAAUUCUGGUCAGUGGGGAAAGUGGAGCUGGCAAAACUGAAACCACAAAAAUGCUUAUGCAAUUCCUUGCUUACCUAGGUGGUAGGGCUGGCACUGAAGGCCGAACAGUUGAACAACAAGUUCUCGAGUCAAAUCCAGUUCUAGAAGCAUUUGGCAAUGCAAAAACUGUCAGGAAUAACAAUUCUAGUCGGUUUGGUAAAUUUGUGGAGAUCCAAUUUGAUAAAAGUGGAAGAAUCUCAGGAGCAGCCAUCAGAACAUACCUUCUAGAGAGAUCUCGGGUUUGCCAAGUUAAUGAUCCUGAACGCAACUAUCAUUGCUUUUAUCUUCUUUGUGCUGCACCACAGGAGGAAAUUGAGAGAUACAAAUUAGGAAGUCCUAAAACUUUUCACUACCUUAACCAGUCAAAAUGCUAUGAAUUGGCUGAUGUAAGUGAUGCUCGUGAGUUUCUUGCCACCCGUAGAGCUAUGGAUAUUGUUGGAAUCAGCCAAAAGGAUCAGGAAGCCAUUUUUAGAGUUGUUGCUUCAAUUCUCCAUCUUGGUAAUAUUGACUUUACCAAAGGAAAAGAAGUUGACUCAUCAGUUCCGAAAGAUGACAAAGCCAAAUUCCACCUUCAAACUACUGCUGAGCUUCUAAUGUGUGAUGCCAAUGCUUUGCAAGAUGCAUUAUGUAAGCGUGUCAUGAUCACCCCUGAAGAAGUUAUAAAACGGAGCCUUGAUCCCCAAAGUGCAACAGUGAGUAGAGAUGGACUGGCAAAAACAAUUUAUUCUCGGCUGUUCGACUGGUUGGUGGACAAGAUUAAUAGUUCAAUUGGACAAGACCCCAAUUCUAAAACUUUGAUUGGAGUCCUUGACAUAUAUGGUUUUGAAAGUUUUAAAACUAACAGUUUUGAACAGUUUUGCAUUAAUUUCACAAAUGAGAAGUUGCAACAGCAUUUCAAUCAGCACGUUUUUAAAAUGGAACAAGAAGAAUAUACAAAGGAGCAAAUUAAUUGGAGCUACAUUGAAUUUGUUGAUAACCAAGAUGUUUUAGACCUUAUUGAAAAGAAACCUGGAGGAAUCAUUGCUCUCCUAGAUGAAGCUUGCAUGUUUCCAAAGUCUACGCAUGAAACUUUUGCAAACAAGCUUUAUCAAACAUUUAAGAACCACAGGCGCUUUAUUAAGCCAAAAUUGUCUCGAACAGAUUUCACGAUUGCUCACUAUGCUGGGGAGGUUUUAUACCAGUCUGAUCAAUUUCUAGACAAAAACAAGGAUUAUGUGGUUCCUGAACAUCAAGAUUUGUUGAGUGCUUCCAAAUGUCCUUUUGUAGCUGGCCUUUUUCCACCACUUCCAGAAGAGACAUCAAAAUCUUCCAAAUUUUCUUCAAUUGGUUCUCGUUUUAAGCUACAACUACAAAGUCUAAUGGAGACAUUAAAUUCUACAGAACCCCAUUACAUCAGAUGUGUGAAACCAAAUAACCUCUUGAAGCCUGCUAUUUUUGAGAAUGCCAACAUUAUGCAACAACUUCGCUGUGGUGGUGUUUUAGAGGCAAUCAGAAUCAGUUGUGCUGGCUAUCCUACUCGCCGCGCUUUUUUUGAAUUUGUGAACAGAUUUGGCCUUCUUGCUCCGGAGGCCACAGAAGCAAACUAUGAUGAAAAGACUGCUUGCCAAAAGAUUCUGGAAAAGAUGGGGCUUAGUGGAUAUCAGAUUGGAAAGACAAAGGUAUUUCUAAGAGCAGGUCAGAUGGCUGAACUAGAUGCACGUAGAGCUCAAGUACUCAGUAAUGCAGCAAAAAGUAUCCAGCGGCGCAUAAGAACUCAUCAAGCACGUAAUCAUUAUCUUGCGCUUCGAAAGAAGACCAUAUAUCUGCAGUCUCGGUGGAGAGGAAGACUUGCAUGCAAACUAUAUGAAAACAUGAGAAAGGAGGCUGCUGCUGUGAAAAUUCAAAAGAACACACGCAGAUAUCAAGCUCGGAGAGCCUACAAGAAACUUCAUGUGUCAGCAUUGACAGUUCAAACAGCUUUAAGGGCAACAGCUGCUCGCAAGGAGUUCAGAUUUAGGAAGCAGACCAAAGCCUCCAUUAUUAUUCAGGCUCGGUGGCGGUGCCACAAAGCUGCAUUAUAUUAUAAGAGGCUCAAGAAAGGGACAAUAGUUACACAAUGCAGAUGGAGGGGACGUGUAGCGAGAAGAGAACUUAGGAAACUAAAAAUGGCUGCAAGAGAAACUGGUGCACUUCAAGAAGCGAAGGAUAAGCUUGAGAAACGUGUGGAGGAACUCACUUGGCGUCUCCAGCUAGAAAAAGGAUUAAGGACGAAUCUAGAAGAAUCCAAAUCUCAAGAGAUAGCAAAACUGCAGAAUCAAUUGCAGGAGAUGCAGAGCAAAUUUGAGGAGACCAAUGCUCUGCUUUCCAAGGAGCGUGAGAAUGCAAAGAAAAUUAGUAUAGAAGCAGUUCCUGUUAUUCAAGAGAAACAGGUUAUCGUUGAAGAUACACAGAAGAUUGACGCACUGACGGCAGAAAUUGAGAGCCUAAAGACGUCACUCGAGUCAGAGAAACAGAAAUCUAAUGACUUUGAACAAAAAUAUAAUGAAGCCCAAGCUAGCAGUGAAGAAAGAGGUAAAAAGUUAGAAGACACAGAGAAGAAGGUUCGUCAACUCCAAGAAUCAUUGAAGGGGCUAGAAGAGAAGAUUAAUAAUGUAGAAUCAGAGAAUCAGGUUCUACGUCAACAAGCUGUAUCGACCAAGUUCCUCCACAGACGCCAGAGCUCACUUGCCCAGNGAGAGAGGGCUGCUGAAAGUGCUCAUAAUAGUAUUGCAGUGGAGGGGAAGCCACAAGUGACUAAUCAGGAACUUCAAACUAGCCCAUCAAUGAACCUGAGGGAAUCCUCUGAAGUGGAUGAUAAACCACAGAAGUCACUAAAUGAGAAACAACAAGAGAAUCAAGAAUUACUCAUUAGAUGCAUUGCACAACAUCUAGGAUUUGCUGGAAACAGACCAAUUGCUGCCUGUAUCAUAUAUAAGUGCCUCUUGCAUUGGAGAUCAUUUGAAGUUGAGCGCACUAGCGUUUUUGAUAGAAUCAUCCAGACUAUUGGCCAUGCAAUUGAGACCCAGGAUAAUAAUGAUGUCUUAGCUUACUGGUUAUCCAAUGCCUCGACACUUCUCUUGUUACUCCAACGCACACUCAAGGCAAGUGGUGCUGCUGGAAUGGCUCCACAACGCCGUCGUUCUCAAUCAGCAACCUUAUUUGGGAGGAUGACUCAGAGUUUCCGUGGAAGUCCAGCAGGAGUCAAUCUGUCCUUAAUUAAUGGUAGUUCAAGUAGAGGAGUAGAUACAUUAAGACAAGUUGAAGCCAAGUACCCAGCUUUGCUUUUCAAACAGCAGCUUACAGCAUAUGUGGAAAAGAUAUAUGGAAUGAUUCGUGAUAACUUGAAGAAAGAAAUUUCUCCCUUGCUUGGAUUGUGCAUUCAGGCACCAAGAACAUCCAGAGCAAGCUUGGUUAAGGGAUCGUCACGUUCUGUUGCAAACACUGAAGCCCAGCGAGCUUUGAUUGCUCAUUGGCAGGGGAUAGUUAAGAGCCUAGGGAACUUUUUAAAUACAUUGAAAGCAAAUCAUGUUCCACCAUUUUUGGUUCGUAAGGUGUUCACGCAAAUUUUUUCUUUCAUCAAUGUACAACUAUUCAAUAGUCUUCUUCUUAGACGAGAGUGUUGCUCAUUUAGUAAUGGAGAAUAUGUAAAAGCUGGUUUGGCUGAACUAGAGCAUUGGUGUUAUAAGGCAACGGAUGAGUAUGCAGGUUCAGCUUGGGAUGAGCUCAAACAUAUUAGACAAGCCAUUGGAUUUCUGGUUAUACAUCAAAAACCGAAGAAGACACUGGAUGAAAUAAGUCAUGACCUAUGCCCAUUCCCUAUUUACAGGUCCUCAGUAUACAGCAGUUAUAUCGGAUUAGCACCAUGUAUUGGGAUGACAAAUAUGGCACGCAUAGUGUGUCACCUGAAGUCAUAUCCAAUAUGAGAGUGUUGAUGACUGAAGAUUCAAAUAAUGCAGUUAGUAAUUCUUUCCUGUUGGAUGAUGAUUCAAGCAUUCCAUUUUCUGUUGAUGACAUUUCAAAGUCAAUGGAACAAAUAGAUAUCUCUGAUAUAGAUCCACCGCCACUUAUACGGGAAAACUCCGGGUUUAGCUUUUUAUUACCACGCCCAGCUUGACAGUUUCGACUGUAGAAUUGGUCGACUGGUGUUCAUACCCACCCACCAACAAGAUAUCAAGUCACAUUCGGGUAUAUAAAUUAUAUAUAGUAAUUUGUUGACUUUGGUUGUCUAAGAGACUAGUCAUUGUAUUUAACACACGAAAUUUACUUCUUAGUAGUUUCAACAGUGGAUGACAUAAAAAGCAUAUGCUACUGCUUUUUUGGGGUGGAAGCUUAAAAAAAAUGGCCAAUAGCCUUUUUUCCAUAGAAUUUUCAUUCUUUUUUUCUUUUCUCAUUUCACCUUGUCACUUCUCAGCACCUUGCUUUGCUUAGAAUAAGAUUUUGUACGUAGAAGUUAUAGGAAUUUCAUCUAAUUAUAGUUGUGAAUGGAGAACAUUGCUCAGGAUAUGCGGUAACAAAGUUAACUAUUUAUAGAGACCUGUCUGUCAUAUUUUUUCAUUUUUCUCUUCUCUUUUCUUGGCUGUGUUCCAAAUAAUGAAGAAUUGGCUCAGAUUUUCAGCCA